UACGAAGGUUGCAAGCGUUACUCGGAAUUACUAGGCGUAAAGGGCAGGUAGGUGGUUUGGUAAGUCUAUUGUGAAAGCUCCGGCUUAACUGGGAGAGGCCAAUGGAUACUGCCAAGCUUGAGUGUAGGAGAGGUUACUGGGAUUCCUGGUGUAGCGGUGGAAUGCGCAGAUAUCGGAGGAACACCAGUAGCGAAGGCGGCACGUCUGG
rnacentral:rRNA from 1 species